rnacentral:sRNA from 1 species
UGGUUUCUUUUGUUUUCGUUUUGCAGAAGAAGAAGAAGAAGAAGAUGAA